GGCCGGGGCGCGUCGCAGGAAAGGACUUAGAAGCGUUACAAAUACAUCUGUGCAUUCUUGCUUCAGACUUUACUACUGAGGGCCAGCCCAGUCUGGAAGCACCUCUUAUUAAUGUUACAAGGAAACCGCUACCUCAGCAAACAAAAGGAAUGGAGGAGGAGACUUAUAACAAAUGCCAUUUAAAAAAAAAAGAAAAACUUGUUUUCAGGAAACAUUAGAGGAAAUUUGGAGAAUUUCAGCAUUGCAUAGAAGCAGCCUUACAGGGCCUGAUCUCGUUGCUGCUGUCAAGCAGAGAAGGAAACACAGCAGUGGAGAGCAAGACACCAGCACGCUGCCCUCACCGCCUCUCCUCACCACAGUGGAGGACGUGAACCAGGAUAACAAAACCAAAACAUGGCCACCCAAAGCACCCUGGCAGCACCCUUCCCCGCUUCCCAGCACGCUGCCCAGCCCCAGCGCACCACUCUAUGCAGUCACCAGCCCUGGCAGCCAGUGGAACGACACCAUGCAGAUGCUGCAGUCUCCAGUGUGGGCCGCAACCAACGACUGCAGUGCCGCUGC
rnacentral:sRNA from 1 species